AUAAACCGCAGCGGAAGCCAAAGGUGAUGCCGAACACGUUCGAGUUCCCC
rnacentral:sRNA from 1 species